GAUGAACGCUGGCGGCGUGCCUAAUACAUGCAAGUCGAGCGAACAGACGAGGAGCUUGCUCCUCUGACGUUAGCGGCGGACGGGUGAGUAACACGUGGAUAACCUACCUAUAAGACUGGGAUAACUUCGGGAAACCGGAGCUAAUACCGGAUAAUAUAUUGAACCGCAUGGUUCAAUAGUGAAAGACGGUUUUGCUGUCACUUAUAGAUGGAUCCGCGCCGCAUUAGCUAGUUGGUAAGGUAACGGCUUACCAAGGCAACGAUGCGUAGCCGACCUGGGAGGGUGAUCGGCCACACUGGAACUGAGACACGGUCCAGACUCCUACGGGAGGCAGCCGUAGGGAAUCUUCCGCAAUGGGCGAGAACCUGACGGAGCAACGCCGCGUGAGUGAUGAAGGUCUUCGGAUCGUGAAACUCUGUUAUUAGGGAAGAACAAAUGUGUAAGUAACUAUGCACGUCUUGACGGUACCUAAUCAGAAAGCCACGGCUAACUACGUG
rnacentral:rRNA from 1 species